GCGAGCGUUAAUCGGAAUUACUGGGCGUAAAGGGCACGCAGGCGGUUAAUUAAGUUGGAUGUGAAAUCCCCGGGCUUAACCUGGGAAUGGCAUUCAAGACUGGUUAGCUAGAGUCUUGUAGAGGGGGGUAGAAUUCCAUGUGUAGCGGUGAAAUGCGUAGAGAUGUGGAGGAAUACCGGUGGCGAAGGCGGCCCCCUGGACAGAGACUGACGCUCAUGUGCGAAAGCGUGGGGAGCAAACAGGAUUAGAUACCCUGGUAGUCCACGCUGUAAACGAUGUCGAUUUGGAGGUUGUGGUCAUGAAUUGUGGCCUCCGGAGCUAACGCGUUAAAUCGACCGCCUGGGGAGUACGGCCGCAAGGUUAAAACUCAAAUGAAUUGACGGGGGCCCGCACAAGCGGUGGAGCAUGUGGUUUAAUUCGAUGCAACGCGAAGAACCUUACCUACUCUUGACAUCCAGCGAAGCCUUUAGAGAUAAAGGCGUGCCUUCGGGAGCGCUGAGACAGGUGCUGCAUGGCUGUCGUCAGCUCGUGUUGUGAAAUGUUGGGUUAAGUCCCGCAACGAGCGCAACCCUUAUCCUUUGUUGCCA
rnacentral:rRNA from 1 species